rnacentral:rRNA from 1 species
UACGAAGGGGGCUAGCGUUGCUCGGAAUCACUGGGCGUAAAGGGUGCGUAGGCGGGUUUUUAAGUCAGAGGUGAAAUCCUGGAGCUCAACUCCAGAACUGCCUUUGAUACUGAGAAUCUUGAGUAUGGGAGAGGUGAGUGGAACUGCGAGUGUAGAGGUGAAAUUCGUAGAUAUUCGCAAGAACACCAGUGGCGAAGGCGGCUCACUGGCCCAUAACUGACGCUGAGGCACGAAAGCGUGGGGAGCAAACGGG